GACGAACCGAGCGAACGUUGUUCGGAAUCACUGGGCUUAAAGGGCGCGUAGGCGGGCUGUCAAGUCUGGGGUGAAAUCCCGCGGCUCAACCGUGGAACUGCCUCAGAUACUGACGGUCUCGAGGGGGAUAGGGGCGAGCGGAACUAAUGGUGGAGCGGUGAAAUGCGCAGAUAUCAGGAGGAACACCGGUGGCGAAGGCGGCUCUCUGGGACGGUACUGACGCUGAGACGCGAAGGCGUGGGGAGCGAACAGG
rnacentral:rRNA from 1 species